rnacentral:rRNA from 1 species
AAUCCUAGCCCUACAUAAAUCAACAUUUAACCAGAACAGUCUACUAAACUAAACCAUUCACCCUACAUUUAAAGUAUAGGAGAUAGAAAUUUAUUUCAGGCGCUAUAGAGAAAGUACCGUAAGGGAAAGAUGAAAGACCUAUUAAUAGCACAAAAAAGCAGAGAUUACUACUCUUACCUUUUGCAUAAUGAAUUAGCUAGAAAACUCUUAGCAAAAAGAAUUUUAGUUAAAAACCCCGAAACCAGACGAGCUAUCUAUGAGCAGUUGCAAGAACGAACCCGUCCAUGUGGCAAAAUGGUGGGAAGACUUGUAGAUAGAGGUGAAAAGCCAAUCGAGCCUGGUGAUAGCUGGUUGUCCAGAAUAGAAUUUUAGUUCAACUUUAAAAUUUUCCUAAAGGACACUUAACCCUAAUGAAAUUUUAAAUGUUACUCCAAAGAGGGACAGCUCUUUGGAAAAAGGAUACAACCUUUUAUAGAGAGUAAGUCAUUUUUAAUCCAUAGUUGGCUUAAAAGCAGCCAUCAAUUAAGAAAGCGUUAAAGCUCAACAAUCAAAAUUAACUUAAUCAAAAUAUUCAACCAAACGAACUCCUAUAAACCUUAACUGGACUAAUCUAUAAAAUUAUAGAAGAAACAAUGCUAAUAUAAGUAACAAGAACCAUGUUCUCCUUGCACAAGCUUAUAUCAGAUCGGAUGACCACUGAUAGUUAACAACCAUAAUAGUAAAAAUCCACAAAUUAAUGCUCUAUUAACUUUUAUUGUUAACCCAACACAGGAGUGCAGCAUAGGAAAGAUUAAAAGAAGGAAAAGGAACUCGGCAAA